GACGAACGCUGGCGGCGUGCUUAACACAUGCAAGUCGAACGAUGAACCCGGAGCUUGCUCUGGGGGAUUAGUGGCGAACGGGUGAGUAACACGUGAGUAACCUGCCCUGGACUCUGGGAUAAGCGUUGGAAACGACGUCUAAUACCGGAUAGGACCUUGGAUCGCAUGAUCUGGGGUGGAAAGUUUUUUCGGUCUGGGAUGGACUCGCGGCCUAUCAGCUUGUUGGUGAGGUAAUGGCUCACCAAGGCGUCGACGGGUAGCCGGCCUGAGAGGGUGACCGGCCACACUGGGACUGACACACGGCCCAGACUCCUCCGGGAGGCAGCAGUGGGGAAUAUUGCACAAUGGGCGAAAGCCUGAUGCAGCAACGCCGCGUGCGGGAUGACGGCCUUCGGGUUGUAAACCGCUUUUAGUAGGGAAGAAGGGCUUCGGCUUGACGGUACCUGCAGAAAAAGGACCGGCUAACUACGUG
rnacentral:rRNA from 1 species